AUGGGUGCUUUAGCAUAGAGAGGAUGGAUUUAGCAGCUCCUGGAUCGAAGAUCGAUGUCUCGUUCGGAGGGCAUGCUUGCAUGCUGCACUUAAGAGCUGGAAUGGAAGGCAUCAUCAGCAAACAUUUUGGAAGCGAGAUAAUUGACGACCUGUUUGAUCGUUUUCUCGAGAAAACCAAUGAAUUUUCCGACCGUUUAAACUCUGCAUAUCGUCAAGGAAGCCAACUGGUAGCGAUACUGAAGCGCAAAUAAUGCGCACUUGGGAGUGGAGUCCGCACUUUUUUCAAAUAAAGUUCCAGAUAUCUACUUUCCUCUUCGAAUUCAUACGUCCCAUAUAAGGCACUCGAAAUCUGAAUACGGUGAGGAUAUUUAGCAUUUGUCCUGGUAUGAUCUUUACAGUACUUGUAUUGCAAUUUUUGAUGAAGUAUCAAUGUAUUGAACUUUUUGGUACUCUAAGGCUUCGUUAAGCAAGAAGUGCACCAAGAAGGUGCUUCAUCAAGAAAUAAAGUCAAGCAGCAUUACGAUGCUUGUCCUCAUACAUGGAGUAGCUUUGGCACAUAAUUCUAAUUUUUUGAUUCUAUAAGUAACUAAAAUAUUUGAAAUUUGAUGUGUUGGGCUUUCUUUUCUACUGAGCUGGACUGCAUAACUUCUUUCAAUUUGUCCCACGAGAAAAGAAGAAAGAAACUAGGUAGAUUGUCUCGUGAGACCUAGAAUCGAGCGUGUAAAUAAUUGCUUCAAUGGAAGCUGAUUUCCAAACUGCAGAUUUUGGUGCAGUGAGAUAAUGAGUCGCAAAUUUUUCUGCUCCUACUUUUUAAGAUAAUAUUGUACUUUUGGCAUCAAUAUGAUCUUUAAAUUCCUCGUAAGAAAAUCUUGUUAAUCUCCUUUGUGCUGAGGAAUGUUCCAUCCCCAUGAUAACAGCUGCCGCAAAUUUUUCCCCAUCAGCCAUGGCAAGAGAAUGAUAUAUUCUCAAAUUCCAUGACAAACCAAAUCUGAUGCAGCGUCAUCUGGCCUAGAGCCAUUAUCUGAGAUUACAGAAAUGUUAUUAUGUUCAAACCCACCAGCAUUAGGAAUCCGAGGAACCUGUGGCAUGGAAGAAUAACUAUCAUACACAGAAAUUUAUGGGGUAUGCAAAGUUUAUCGCGAUACGGAAAUUCCAAUUCAGAAAGACUAUAGACAGUGAACAGCCGUUUGACAUUACCAUUAUGUACAAAAAGAUGUAAUGCACACACAAAUAGCAGUCAGAAUGUUAUUUAAGCUUCGCUACACAAACAGCAGGAAUUUAGGAGUACCGUUGCCUACACAUUUGCAGAAGACCCAAAUACAACAACUUCGGUUUCUUCAACUGAGAAAAUAUCCAAGUUGGAUUUCUCAAUUCAGACGCAAUCGGGUGAAGUAGUCUUCAAGAGUGGACUUACGAGCACUCAUCCUACCUCGUUUUUCCUUCUUAAUUUGGAUUAGUUUAUCAUAUACACACCAAGGAAAGCUAAGAUAAUGAUCUCGUUUUAAACCCUCGUUGUAGCAACCCCAAUACUCCGGAUGAUACGUGACAUGAUACCACGCAGAUGCUUUUGCAUAUUCAUCAACGGGCUCAGAAUACGAACCACUUCCCUUAUCAUUAAACCAGGUCCGAGCUUCCUUUCUCAGGGAUUUUACUGCCAUAGUGAUGGAUUCAGCGUCCCUCCUCUUGGUGAAAGAUUUGGACAUUUUUAUUAUGCAGCCACUAAGUAUUUCAGCCUCUGUGUCAAUCCCAUAAUACUCCAUCAGAUUCCCCAGCUUGUAAUCAUAAUUACCCUUGUGAUAGAAAGCGUCAUCGACAUAAUCCUCAAAUCCGUCCACUUCCAUCUCUGGGUCAUAAGAUUGCCUCGCCAUUUCCAGUGUGAACUUCCGAAUAGAGCUUGAUGCAUAUGCUUCCUCUUUGACUUCCCGGAAAAGCUUUCCGAUCACGUUGUUGGAUGGGUAGCUGGACUUGUCAAGCUUCUCCAUGAAGUCUGGGUAUUCCUUGACAUACAGAUUAGGAGGUAUCACAGCAGGUACACCAGUUUUUGGGAAGUCAACCGCAAUAGAGAAAAGUCUGGCAAGGUCUAAACAUUCAGGGCACAUGGCCUUUUCAGGCUGACUAUCUGCAAAGACGGUGUGGGCAUUGGCAAUAAUUCCAAGGCUGUCAUUAAGUAUGUAAUUUACGAAGUACUCCUCCACUUCCUGUUUAAGCAACAAAACCACAAAAGGGUUUUAAUUACCCACAUAUCCAUAGAGCAUUACAAGAGAAAUCAAGCGGCGAAUUUCCAAAUGCAACUCAUUGAUUUCGGCAAAUUGAUCAUCAAUAACCCUUCAAAAAUAAAGUGUGCUCAGAUAUACAUCUUCUCUUAAGAGUUCAAGGUAUAUAUGUGCUGGCCACUUCCAAUUUCAAUGUUCCCAACGAUUCAAAAUAAUCCGUUCAUUUCAUUAUCAAGAAAAGGAAAUGUUCUGUAACGCAAAAGAAUAAUGCAUAAACCAAUCUUAGUAGAUGUAUAUGCAUGGGCAAGUAUAGGCUUGCAGGUAGAUGCUUAUCGCCACGGUAUUUCCAGCAGAAUCAAUCUUAAUAAAAACAAUAAUACCAAUUCAGAGAAUGGAAGCCUCGUAACGACUGCCACCUAAAAGAACAAGGAAUUCUCAACAGCAGUGAAGAGUGGGUACCAAAUCCAAGGUCAAGAACAUAGGCAAAGUUUUACUUAUAGAGUCACGCUGGAACAAAACUUAUUAUAAAGACCAAAAGAUUCUUUCCAUAAACCCAUGCAUCAUUAUCGUAAUGAUAACUUCCAAACCCCAAUUUAAGAAACGCCACAGUUAAAACAAGUAUACAGCUAACCCCAAAGCAUGAGCCCAAUCCUAUUCCCCCCAAUGGCAAUGAAUCUUUAUUCUCUAGAAGAGUUUCUUCACAAGGAGGAAAUUGAAUGGACCGACCCAUGGUAUAUCUAAUUUCAGAUCAUUAAUAUUUCCCAUGAUGGCCAGCCUUCUAGAUAAGGAAAAAUACCACAGUAGUAAGGUAGUUUCACUUGGUGACUUGGUGAUGAAAAUGAUGCUUUCCAUGAUCACACACUUUAAUCCAUCACUUCCUAUUGCAUUGAUAUUUCCUAGAUAAUAAUCAAAUUUAACAUAACAGAUUCACAACAGCUGGACUAUAAACAAAACCCAUGCAUCAUUUCAGUAAGCCUACUUUUUCAUUCCCUCAUCUUUACUUAAAAAAUUAGCUAUGUCCCUCCACAACAGUCACUUGAACUGCAUCCAAGCACAAUGCCUGACCAAAUACACCUCUAAGUUUGGCAAAAUAUAUGAAAUGUUGAAAUAGGGUUUCAGAACCAGUGAAAUGGCUCUGCUAGCCUUUAUAGAUACAUUUGAUGAGCGGCUCUUAAUCAUAGCUAAACCCACAUCCGAGUCGAGACAACACUACAGCCUCAAGUGCUUCAUUAUUUACCAUAGUCGCUUUUUGUUUCCCUACAAAGAUUCAUAUCACUUUGUGUGCAGUUGUGCCUGAAGUUGAGUGAACAAAAUUUGGCAGUUAGCUUUUAGGGCAGAAGAUGAAUAGAGGCAUUGAAAAACUAGGGAAGCCUCCAAACAAGCAAAAAUUAAUGAACUACAUGUGGAGAAUUCUGAGUGCAAGUUCUUUCCAGGGACUUCUCAUAGAAUAGUCCUGGUCAAACAGCCAAUUCCAUGUUAUGUAAGGCAUAAACAGAUCUUUGACUAUAAGAAUCCUACUGACCUAAUGGUUGAAUUAAUGAGCCCACUCGUACUCAACUGUUUGCUUCGUGACUAACUUUUAAGCUAUCAUCUGCUUGCAGAGGGUGCAAAUUUUAGCUUCUCAGGGGUUCUUCCAGCCCAGGGAAGGAAGGAAGAGAAGCACACAAAUUUAUAAGUAAAAGGAACCAAUAAGAAACCAAAAGAAUACAGCAGGUUUGACAAGACAUUUUGCUCACAUGCCAAAUUCCUCAGCAAAGAUAAAAUUAUCCAAGUAUCAUGUCAGACAAGCCAAGUCAAGUGAAAAGAUAGAGAAUGCCAAAUGAUGGAUGCUAGAUGGAUUUCCUACUAUAACUGUAAGCUGUUCAAAACGUUUCACAGCAUCAUAAAAAGUCAUUACAAUAUAUAUAAUUCCGUGGAAAUCCUGAGAAAAAGCAUUACCUCAAUUGUGACAUCAUGAUCUAACCUCUCACUUGGGGCAGGUGUGUAAUCCAUAGGUUGUCUCUGGUGAUGCGGAAUUAAUUCUGAGUCCCAGGAGACAAAGUAGAUAUCUCCGUCCAAAUCACUCCCUGAACACUCAUUUGGAUGAGGCCUAUUUCAUUCAAGAAUCGCAUUAUGCAUUAACAAGAGAAAUUGAGAAUCAUUAAAAGGACAGAUCAAUAUCAUAUUUUGCUUUCUACUUUUAUCUAUUGAAAGUGUGUUUGGGACAAUUUAAAGUAGAAGAAAGUCAACCCGAAUUACUCAAAUUAUGGGGAAGGAAUUUUUUGCCUCUACUUUUAGCUAGUAGAAUUAAAGGGUAAACCUAUCAGUGUUUAUCCAGAACUAGAACUAUCAGAAGCAUAGAACAACAGCAUAGUAGAGGAUGCUUCUUAGCAAAGUCGCAUCACAUGUAGACAGAAUCUACAUACAAGCCUUGGAUCGGUGAACUCAAACCUCAUACAAGAAAGAGACAAACCAGAAGCAGGAUCAACAAAAUUUCAAAUCUAGCCACCAAAUCCCACUGGAUAAAUAUUCUAGCAUUUAUUCUCAAAGCUUAAAGGUGAUAGAAAAGCAGGCCCAAAACUAUUUCUCAAGAAAAAAUGUCAAAAUUAUCCUUGGCUAUGUAAAAUGCGGAAAAAAUUAAAUUGGGUUGCACAUCAGUUCAUUUAUUUUAGACCUAGUACAAACAUAAUAUUAGAAAUUUUAGAUCUUAUUAUUAUAACUGAACCAAACCAAAACAAUAGCCAAUGAUCCACGACCAAAAGCAAAAACAAGUCCAAAAUGGAUCCAUGACAAGUGCCAGUGCAACUGAGGUAAUUGCAAGCCAAUAACAAGGCAUCUUAGAGUCAUACCUUUUUCCCUUCUGUGGAAAAACAACACAAUCCACCAUAUGAUGUAAAGCUGGCACAUCUAUAGCAGUUAGAACACGCACAUCACCUGGAUGUAAGCAAGGAUUCUUGGCAACAACUACUUUUCCCUGUACAACAAAGCUUUGAUCUGAGUCAGUACCAAUGAACACAAUUGACUCAUCCCACAUCUGUUGUUUUCUUCUACCGGAAUACUGCAGAAACACCUGGCCAUAUUCCAAACUUUGGGUUUCGUCAAGGCAUCCCAUCAUUGAUCUUCCUUCAGGAAGAAAUAUCCUCGUUUUUGUCCGCAAUUCAGACAAUUUUGUUGCUCUGAAUGUUCGCAGCAUCAUCGAUAGAAAAGGCUCAGCAUCAGGCUUAUAACCACACUUUAGCAUUUCUUUGAGAAUGUUACCAUUCUCCCCCGGGGACAUUAAAUCUAGAGCCUCUUGUGCUCGUAGGGGAUCAACUAAAAUGGCAUUUAGCUGAUCUACAGCAUUUUUUUGUUUUUUCUCGAACACGUGAUCUCGAACGCCAAGUGUUGAUAGAAGAGUGAUCAACUGGCGAUUAAGAAAGCAAGGCUGAUAUUUGCUCCAUCCCAAGACAUUUAGCUUUGUCUCAUCUGAUUCAUACUUUAACAUGCUCUUUCUGAGUGAUAGUUUAACACAUGACGUUGGAUCAACCGCUACAACACCUUUAUAUCCAGCAUAGCGAAUUUGAAACGCGGAAGGAGUAUAGCCCUUGAAGCCACAUUUUCUUGCAACUUUCCGAGCGAACUCUCCAGAUAUCUUCCCAAUUCCAUCAGAAAAGAUAUAAUUCAUAUCCUCAACAAGUGACUUGACUUCAAUAUCCGGAAUGAGUUCAACUUCAUCUUCACCUACAUUGAGAGUUUCGGUAGAUGAACUCAAGGAUUGGCCAAGUCUCGCGGCAUAUUUUGCCACAUUUCUUAUUGCACUGAAUUUACCCAUCUUUGCCCUAAUAGUUGCAGCAGUUGUACCAUCUGUUGGAGCAAACAUCCAAGCAGAAUUUUCGCGUAACUGACUGGAUGAGAAGGCAAGAAAUUCAAAAUGCUUAUCACCUAUUUUUAUGCCAUUCUUGAGAAUAGAAAGGAUCCUUUCAUAUAUAUCCGUUCUCCCAUGUCCCGAAGCAGUGCGAGGAGAUAAAUCAGUUGAAUACAUUUUAUCCAGGUCCUCAUCCACAAAAGAAAUACGGAUAAAAUUGUCAAUGUUCUCAGAAUAACUCCGCAAUACAUGAUUUGAGACAUUAAUUUCUGGACCAAAAAAAUACACCCUACAUGGUGUUAUUUGCACCCUAUGUACAUAAACCAAGCCAGCAUCUAACGAUAUUGAAGACAGUUUUGUAGAAUGCCGGGAGGUGAGAUAUUUCUUGUGUUGCUCAAUCAACCACUGUGAAGGCUCAUAACAACAUUCUUUCAAAUGGAACAGCUUGUCCAAGGCAUCUAGGAUUAUGUCCAUGUCCAUCCUCCGUGGAUCAACCAUUCGAUAAAAGGACAAAUCAAGAGAAGGUCCAGCUAGACAGCCAUUCUGAACUAACAAAUUUAUCUUAAAGAUGAUCUCAUAAGGCAAGUCAACUCCUCUGGGAGGGCCUACGAUUGGAACUAGAUCCGCACUGCAGGAGAAAGGCGAACCAUUUUCCAUAGAAAGUGUUCCAUCGGUUUCCUUAUAAUUGACAAAGUUCUCAUGAAAAUUUGGAAGUGGAUAUUCACAAGGAAUUUCUAAACAUACAGCAGAAGACUGUCCAAUGCAAGCUGAGGGAGUAAAAUCAAUCGCUCUCACCCACUGGUCAUCAGAGCCAUCUUUGAAAAAGUUGUAGAAAUGACUGACCAAAACAUCCUCUGAAUACUGAACAACUUUUUUACGAAUAUAGGGAGCCCCAUACAGCUAACAUCCACAAGAACAAAAUUUAUAGAAAUAUAUUAGGUCCUCUAUCAUAAGCAGCAUAUUAUGCAAAAAAGCAUGCGUGGUUGAAUGGGAAGUGCAAGCAUAAGAAAAUAGAUAAAGGACUGGGUUUCUUUUGUGUCAGUGAAAGUAAAGGUUUGGGGAGUGAAGCCAAAGCCCAGAAGCUGGCCCCUUAUAAAGGAAAAUUCAUGAUGGCCAUCAAUAUAUUUGCCUCCAUGGAAGAUUUGCCACUAUGCCAAAAGUGUAAAAUUCUAAACCUUUUAGGCUCUAAAACAUUCAAAAGUUCCAAAUUAGCCAGAAGCAAGAAUAUGAUCAGCAGAUAUGAACUCUUAUCUCUAUCACUGAAAGGAACUUGUGUACCCUGCUUAGCCUCCUACUUAACCAACCUUGCCAUGACCCAGAACCUCAUUAAAUUCAAUUAACAAUACAUGAAUCAAACAAGAGUCUUCAUCUAACAUUAACAUGUAGCCUAAGAAGAUUGGAAUUAUUUAACCUAAAAAAUCACACGAUUCCUAAAAUCAAGAAACAACAACCUCAUGAAAAAUUAUAAUCAUAAACCUCCAAGCCUUAUCCUUUAAGACUGUUUACAAAAUUCUAUCAUGUCUUGCUGUGAUACUGUGCCUUAGUGAGUUUUCAAAUACUGAGUUUCAGUUAGGAAAUUAUCAACCACGGAAAAUGGCAUUGAAGUCAUAACCUUUCAAUUGUUGCAAUCAAGUCUUCCUAGCCAUAACUCAAUUUGAGUUCUCUUGUCUAGCAGUUCUCUUGUCUGGCAGCCUGUCUCAAGCUACCGCGUCUGCAUUUCAGGAAGAACGUAAUUGGAUAAUUUUUCAAAAAGUCCAAAAUUUCACCGCACAUAUUUACAAGUGCAGAACUUGCUUCAUUGUAUACUCAAGUUUUACAACUUCUAAUACACCUUUCCCUAUCAAUCAAAUAGCAUGCAACCUAAGUACAAGGUAGCCCCUAACGUGAUCUCCAAUAGGUGUAUCACCAGUGGUCCCUGCAGAACUUGCUUCAUCCCUCUACUUUCUUUCUCCCAAUUCAUAUGCAUCCCUUUAUCUAAAAAGUUCCACAUUACUCCCUCUGUUAUGUGUUUCUCUUGUUUGCAUAAAUAAUCGAAUUACUAAGUUGGACGUCAAAGCACGCAUGCUGUCUUAUGAUUCACGGAAUUUUUUUAUGUGGUGCCAUAAAAAUUGAAAAAAAAAAAAAAAAAAACAAACAAACAAAAAAGAGAGAGACAGUGGCACGGACUCAUGGCCAUGGCCACUUGAUCCGGAGCAUGCAACCAUGGCGCUUGAGCUCGUGGCCUCCAUGGCCACUAGAUUUGGACUUCCCCAAACCUUGAGCUCACAGCCAUGGCCACCAGUUCUGGAGCUUGCCUUGGCCGCUCGAGCUGGAGCUUGAGCUCGAGCGUGGGGCUGCUAUGGCUACCAGAUCUGGAGCUCACCAAAACUUGAGCUCGCAGCCACCAUGGCUGCUCGUGCACAAGGUUUAUUUUUUCCAUAUCUGGGAUUUGAGGGGGGUAGUAGAUGGUGACCACUUAGUAAUCGGUGUGUCAGCAGAACAUGUCCUUGAUUCCAACUAAAUCCGUGUGCUUCCUACAAUGAAAGUUUCAACCAUAUCUUUCCUAAAGAGCCCUCUUCCACAAUCUCUCUCUUAAUUUACAAAGUUGUUUUUGUCUAAGUCUCCCUUCAACAUCCAAUUUUUAAGAAAUUCCUUGCAGAUUGUAGAUACUGGAGAACUCAUCCUUCACUCCCACAAACUCACUACCUUGACCCAUUGUCGCAACCUAGCUCAAUGACCCUUGGGUCCCAAGACGAGUGGCUGUAACAGAAUUUUCCUCGUCCAGCCAGAGCCAAUCAAUAAUGUUUGGAGUUCUGCCAGCCAUUUCUCUGUAAAGAUAAGGUCUUGGCAAGCUAUCUAUGUUCAUGAGACAUUUGAUCCAGGCAGAAAUACCAUGAAGGUUAAACAGGGACAAAAAACAAAAAAACAAAAAACAAAAAACAAAACAUCUUCUAAAUGAGUUACAUCAAGUCAUCAACUGGGAGCUUGAAUAACCCCAUUUAGUGAGCUAAAAAUCAAAUCCCAACACUAUGGGGAAGAAUGUAGUACGAAGAAUUUUAACAUUCAUUGGAAUUAGAAGAUCACACCCAAAACGAUGUCCAGUCAAAUAUAAAAACCAAAUAUGCAUUGUAGGAUAAAUCACAAUAUUAACACAAAAUAGUAAAUCAGUCUCUUGUAAUCCGAAUGAAGUCCAAUCACCUGAAUCACAAGAUACAUUGUUUUAUGGCCUCUUGCACGAUGUAGCUCGAUCUGCCAAAUAUUUUCAUAGGAUAACUCGAGCUUAUACUCCGUAUUGUGAUAAGAUAGAAGGAAGCAGAAUUUUCUCAUCCCAAGCCCAAAAUUUAGGGAGACGUUCACCCCUUUCCACAGAGUAGAGAACCUUUUACUUGAUACCUGACAGCCAAAAUGCAAAGUGAUACCUUCCAUUGAAUGCGAAAGGGUUCUUGGCCUUUGUACAAUAUCAUGCUCAACCCUGCGAGCAGUUAGAUAAGAUCGCCCAUACCACAAAUCUUUUCGACUAGCAAGUAAAAUAAUCGACUCUGCAUAAUCAGCAUUCAUAAAUUGGACAAUCGCAUAUGAUCGAACCCCACGUUUAUCUUGUCUAACUUUGAUGGCAUAAAUAGUACCUCUGCCAGUCCUUUGCUCCAGGCAUCCCCUGACUGUAUCUACAGUCACUAAUGAAGGGAAUCCGUGUACAUUUAUAGUCUUACCCAUUUAACUGAUACAAACUUUAUAGCACUCUGUUACACCAUAUCAAGGGCAUCACCAGGAAUGACAGAAGAAUGCCAGGCUAGGGCCUUUGAAAAGCACAUGGACCAUUCAACUCCAAGCAUGAAGUUUGCCGUACUGAAAGGGGAAAAAGUUAGACAGGAAACAUGAAAAUUUCUAUAAACUGAUUGUUGCCUCAAACUACCACAAAUCAUCAUAGCGAUUGAUCAUCAAAUGAACACUUGAUUUCUCCAUCUCGAGAAAACUAUUUACAAGCAUAAUGGGCUUCAAACAGCUUUGUUCACAGUAAGCACAGGAGUGACCAGCAUCAGAAAAACAUCAAAAAGGCCUACAAUUUUAGGCAACCUAUCAACAUAUGACAGUGAUGGACUUUAUUUCCAAUUAACAAAAAUGCCUUCCCGAAAACAUCUACAUGUUGAUAAUCAUGAAUUCUUCAAUGAAGCAAAAUAAGGAAUUCAAAAUAAGAAUAUCAUUGGGACAUUCACAGCACUUCGAGUCCUUCUUAAGCCGCAAGAGAAUAGUGUGAAACUGCAACCAACUCACUAUUGUGAAUCAUGUGCACUUUUAUCAUUCAGGCAAACCUCAUUCGGAGAGAAUAUCAUUGGGACAUUCACAGCACUUCGAGUCCUUCUUAACCCACAAGAGAAUAGUGUGAAACUAGCAGAACAACUCACUAUUGUGAAAUCAAGUGCACUUUUAUCAUUCAGGUGAACCUCAUUCGGAGAGAAUGAGUAUUGGAGGAGAAUUAUUGUUGAAGGGUACCUAGCACUUUAUAUCAGCUGCCAGCAGUUGUAGCAGAAUAACUCACUAUUGUGAAAUCAAGUGCACUUUUAUCAUUCAGGCAAACCUCAUUCGGAGAGAAUGAGUAUUGGAGGAGAAUUAUUGUUGAAGGGUACUUAGCACUUUACAUCAGCUGCCAGCAAUUGCAGCAGAACCAAAUCUGUAUCUUGGCACAUAUCAAAAUGACAGAGAGAAAUCACUCAUUCGCAACUAUUGUUUCUUCAAUCUCGGAUCCAUGCUGAUAAAAGUAUCCACGAAAACCCAAGAUGUGUUGAUCCCAACUAAACUUAAGUCAAAUUUCAAGCAGCAGAAGUUCUCAGGAUGCUGUCCAAACACAUUCGUGAAUGGAACAACAGGACGUAACUGAGCUUUCCAACGAACAAAUUGCUACAGAGGUGAAACAGAAGGAAUUCCUAAACCUUUCCCAAUGGUAUAUUGACAGGCAUACAAAAGAAAUAGAUAAUUCCGCUAGGAAUGUAAAGUACCAAGAUGAAUACCUCCCACAAGCCCAUAACACUAUGUCAAAUUGCAAUUAGAUUCUCCACGAUGCUUCUUGAAAAAUUCCUUCCGAGUCAAUGUUUAUAUUUUAUAGUUGAGAAAAGGUUGCAAUUCUAACAUUCACACUCUAGAACAUAAAACGAACGAGGAAGCAGAAAUUCCAUUUUGUAGCCACAUCUAAAUAUCAUCAGAGAAAAGAUUGCAAUUCUUCUCAAAUGUCCGGAGCUUUUCUUUUCCAAUCACUUAUAUUUAGACGGGGCUACAAAAAUUCUUUCGAAGAAGUUGCACACAAAAAACACACAUCAAACAGCAAAAAUGGGUAAAAGUCCCAUCUUGGCAACGACAGGGUCACAAUUCAGCAUUUCAGCGCAAGCAGCAAAACAGGACACAUGUCUGACACAAAGAGCGCGAAUGUAGCGCACCACACGCCACUUGAGCGGCAGAACCAAUCAACACAAUAGGAAGUAAACCAUCAGCAAGCGCACGCUUGCGUUUUUUCGUCUUUUCUUUUCCCCUAUACCCAAGCACCAUCUCACUCCUGAAGCAAAUUCCCACACAAUGUAGCCUCUCCGAACCAAACACACCCCCCCCCCCAUCCCCCCCCCCCGGGAAAAAAAAAAAAAACCGUGAGAUCCACACGUGAUCGCAAACGUUCUUCACACGCCGGAGUUCCCACUCUCGAAUAUAACGUCCCAGUACAGCCAAAAAAAAAAAAAAAACACGGCGAUCGUAAAAAAUCCAAACUUUACUGACAAGAAGGAGAAGAAGAAGAAACCCAGUUACCUCUGAGAGCUCGCCGAGCAGGGAAGCAAGAAGGGUCUGUCUCUGCGGCGACACAGAGUGUAGUAGAAAAGGAAAGUGCCCAGGAGAGAAGACGGAGCAGCGUCUCCUCCGCCGACGCCCACCCAGAGUCAACCCCUCAGUCAACAACACCACACUGCACUAAAAAGUCAAUCAAUCACUCUCUCUCUCUCUCUCUCACUCACUCACGCUCAGUCGCUCCUGCUCUUCUGCAUUUGAUAUAGGGGUGGGGGAAGAGAGAGAGAGAGAGAGAGAGAGUGGAAAAGGCGACAAUUCCGUCCUUCGCGGGCCACGCUGGCUGACGAAUGAGAACGUGAGGAUCCCUCUGCAUGAAGCGGAGCGAGUUCCUUGUCAAGGAAGGAAGGUGUGUGUUUCCUCGGACGGGACCCACGCGCGGACGAAGAGAAGAAUACUGCCGUACUGCCACGUUUCGACAGGUGACUGCUUCUCCCCCCUUUUUCAAUUUUUGUCUUUCCCUUUUCCACUCCGGAGACUUACUGAAGAAAUUCUAGCCCCCCCGAAUCAAUUGGCAAAUAAAAUAAUCCUGAUUCCAUAUCUUUCACAAAAAAGUAUAUGAUUUGAAGAAUAUUUUAUGAAAAAAAUUCCAUUGAUUAGUUAUUCCGAUCAGAAGAACAAGUGAUCAGUUUUAGAAAUGUAUUUUUCAAAUUAUUCGUCAUUCAUGAAAUAAAAUGAGGCUAAGCAUUAUUUUGAUAAUCCAUGAGAUUAAUUGGAUACUGGAAAAUGAUAUUAGAAGUGUCAUGAUUUUUGUACGGCGCUCGUUUUAGUGUCAAAACAUUUUGACCGACUAUUUAAAUGUAACGUUGGUGUGAAAUCGUGCACUUUACUAUCUAUUCUCGCUAAUCGUCCCUCGUGACUUUUCAAGUUAAUUUUUUGGAACGAUCGUGGCUUUUCAAAAGAAAAAUCUAAGUCUAAGGUGGACAAUCUUCAAUUAAAAUGACAAAGAAUGAUUCGUUUUGGCCUUUUUGUUACGCAAAUUCACUCGAAACCGAAACCCUAAAUUCUACAAAGGGAUUCCUCUUCCGAGAAGCUUAAGCAGUGGAGAGAUUCAAGAUGAGAUGAGCAGUGGAGAGGAUCGAGCUUACGAGAUGACAAAGUGGGGAUCGGUCGAAUCAACUUCGUCGAGGUCCAGAUGAUGACGGGACAACGUGACACAAGGAAUGGCGCUUGAUUUGAAUGAAUCGCAAAGAACUUGCAGGUUUUUUUGGGACAUGAAUCGCGGUGUGCCUCGCCGGAAUCCUGCAAAUCGCAGACGAAUCGAAGGUUACGGAGAUGGCACGUUGGGUGCAUUGGGGAAAAUCGCCGGCAUCUUCCUAGACAUUUCUGCAGCUCCUUCUCUCCAGUUAGAUUUUUUUUUUUUUCCACUUUUUAAGCUCGACUUGAACAUCUUCUACCAAAUUCUUUUGCCAAGUUCACACUGUUAUCUUGCAAAAAAUCCCUCCCCCGAAUCCGCUCAGUCCUUUUUCUUUUCAAUUCCAGAUUGUAGUGUGUAUUUUCUUCGUCAAUUGUGCACAAACUUUAAAUGACUAAGCUCCAUUGAAGAACCAUCAUCGCUCAACCAUUGGAGAGGAAGAGGGACAAAUGGAGCAACAAAUCUCUUCCCCUUUUUUUCUUUUUUCUUUUUUUUGGUUUUUAUUUAUAGUUUUACCGAUAAGGCCAAAACAACUUUGUUUUUUCUUCAUGAUUUUUUGCUGAUUGGAUUUUCUUUGGCAAGCCAAGUCAAUUGAUUUACAGCAAAUUAACGUCAUGUCGGAUUUUCGAAUCAUACAAAUCGAGGAUGACAAUGAAGUGAUUCCUUUUUCCCAAAGUGACACUCAAGUGAUCUCUUAAAAAUUUUUGAUAUUAAGAGUGAAGUUGUAUGAAAAUUAUGAUACUUGAAUACUAGUUAAUAGAAGUGUAUAUCGGUCUAAUCCAAUCCAAGAAUCGGAUUGGAUUGGAUCGAAUCGGCUAAUUCUAAAUGGUUUCUAUGAGAAUCAGUCUAAUUCCUAGUUCUAAAAAUAUGAAAUUGGGAAUAAUUGAUUCAAUUUUGGAAUCGAGAACUAAACUGGUGUUUGGUUCCUUGUGUGAAACUAGACCGAACCAAAACGUCACGCUAGAGGUGACCCUAAAUUAAAAUUAGAGCUCUUUCUCUCUCUUUUAGACCAAAGCUUCUCACCGCUCUGAGCUGCUCACCUCUCUUUCGUGCAACCACCACCAUGGUCUCGAGCAACCACCAUCACAGCGAAGCUCCUCGUGUGGAAACCAAGGGUGAGAAAGAUGAAAGAGGUUCGUCAACGGAGAAACCCUUGGAUGCUUGAUGCGACGAGAGAGAGUAGAGGGAAAGUAUAAAGAGAGAGAUGCGGCUGUUUUAAUAAUAAAAGGAAAAGGGACAUCCAUAAAAAUAUUUCCCUAGUAGCUUGUCAAUUCCUCUGUGCACACUUUCUUAGGUAAAUGUUGAUUUGGUCCCACGAGGACUUUAAAAAAAAAAAAAGAGUAGUAAGGUACCUGUCUUUUCAAUUCUUUCGCUAAAUUAAUGAUUUAUUUAAAAAGAUUAAAGUAAAUAUAGUUGCGAACGGCUAUAUUUUACUCAGUUACUUUCUUGAGCAAAAUCAAAAAUUAAAUCAAAUCAAAACCGAAAACCUUUUUCUCAAUUCCAGAACCACUUGGUUCGGUUCCUAAUUCUAACCUUCGGAAUUGGCAGGCACAAGAUUGAUUCUCGGUUCUAGGCUAUGGAUUGAUCAAUUGAGAACCAAAUCACCCAUAUUGAUUAAAAACUCAUGAUAAUAAAAAAUUUGCAUGUUGUGUUUUCAUAAUGAGUUGGAAGCUACUUAUCCUCCGUGGAAAGUGGUCAAAACUAAUGAAUUUUGCAAUUCAAAUGUCAUGUGAGAAGAAGAAAUUUUAAGAGAAAUUAACAAUGAAUGAUACCUAAUUUGCUUCGGGCUUCAGAACCUAAGCCAGCCACUAGGAGAUUUACUAUGAAUCCACAUUGUACAGAUUUAUCAAUCUUUCGAUUGGUCAAGUGUUUCCCAAGCACUAACCUCUUACAGAGAAUUCACUUAAAAAAAUUUCAGAAAAAAUCUUAUAACUUUUUUUGUUUGCUCUAGUAUGUUCACCAAUUUGAAUUCCAUCUACUGUAUAUACAUGAUGCUUGUAUCCAAAAAAAAAAAAAAAACUUUAGGAAACUUGUUGAAACUAUUCAAAUUAGGAAACCUACAUAAACUAAGAAACCUAUUUAGAUUGGGCUCAAAUUUAAGUCAUAUUCUUAACAUAAGCUUACUAAUGUAUGGAAAACUUACUAAUCACAUGACAAGUUAAUCAGCAACAUAUUGAUAUUUUUCGAAUGAAAAGCAGUGUUAAAGGUACUCAACAACUAUAAAAAAAAAAAAAAAAUUACUAGGAACUUAUGCAUAUUAACUCUUCAAGUACAUAAAGUCACCAAUUCCUAGGAGAAAUUAUCAAAAAAGUCCCAAACUUAUUACACAUGUGUCAAUUCAAUUUUAAACAUUUCAAAUUGAUCAAUUUAGUCUAAAAUCCGUUGUAGUUGCACUAAUUUAGUCGUAAACAUUUCAAUCAUUUUGCCAAAUGAAUCAUAAAUAUUUUGAUGAUUUAUUAAUUUAGUUAUAUAAGCUAACUCUAGCUAGAGAUUGCUAACGUGAUAGUUCAGUAAACGCUAGUUAUCCUAAGCAACAUGGUAGCACUGGCAUGGAUGAUAUAUCCAACUAAGUUUUAAUAGAUACCAAAAGUAUAUUUACUUUUAAUUAGCAACGCUUUCACCAUCACUACCAAUGUGAUUGAUAUCCACUAACUCUUCCAUAAGUGACUACAACGUAUUUAUUGCACAAGUAACUUAUACUAAUGGACCCAAAAAAAAAAAAAAAAACACAAAACACAAAAGCAAAAGUGAAAAGACAUCUCAAGAGUCGAGAUAUGCUCAUUUGAUGCAAUUUCGUCGGAGGGACAUGGUAAUAUUUCCUACUUGGGCCUCUAAGGGUACGUUUGUUUGUGUUUAUGUUCAAAAAUUGUUCUAGGAAACAGAAAUUAAAAAAAAAAAAACUAUUUCUGUUCCGGGGAAUAAUUUUUAACCAGAAAAACGUGUUUGGUAAACUUAUUUCGGAAAUAAAAAAAAGAACCGAAACACGUUUGGUAAAUUUAUGUUCUUUUUUUGUUUCUUUUAAUUUUUUAAUAUUUUUAUUUUAUUUUUCCUUUUUUUCUUUCUUUUUUUUUUCUUUUUUUCUUCUUUUGGCCAGUCGCAAGCCUCAGUCAUGGCCGUUGACCGGCCGACACUCGCCGUGGUUGGGCGAGGCUCAGCCUCACCUUGGGCUGGGCGAGCUAUGUUUUAAGACCUUGAUGCAAGGAUACCUAACACUCAAUAUAGUUUUCCAUGAUUGUAGCAUUAGUGGGCCUUUUCCACAUUACCUAGCGCAUAAAAGGUGUGAAAGGAUGGCCCAGCAUCAGACUAAUGAAACCAUCCGCUUUAGAAGUUCGGAUUGGUAGCCAAACGAGUGAUNNNNNNNNNNNNNNNNNNNNNNNNNNNNNNNNNNNNNNNNNNNNNNNNNNNNNNNNNNNNNNNNNNNNNNNNNNNNNNNNNNNNNNNNNNNNNNNNNNNNCUUAGGAAACAGUUGAAUAGGAUAGAAUCCAGCAUACAGAAUCCUACCCAACUCAUCACAUCACAAGUAGACACUUUCAAAAAACCCAUUUUUAAAGCUUUUGAAUUUCCAAAAAAUCUUAGCCCGGAGUUUGCUAAAGCCAUAGAACAAAAGAAAAAACUCCUAGGGAAAUCAAAGCUAGAGCAUGCUCCUAUUAUAGACAUUCUCGCGAUUUUAUUUAAGUUAUUUACUUUCUUGUUCUUAUACAUAAUUUCCUUUUAGAUACAUCCUUCCUUGUUUUCAUACAGAUCUGUUAGUCUCUUAUACUUCCUUGUUCUCUCAUAUAGUACUCCGAUCCUAGCUCCUUUAUGGUAUCAAAGCUAGUGGGAAGGUAUAGAUAGUCUUUGUAAGAACAUACUCAUAGAUCGAGAGCCAUUCGUUGGCAUCCUUCUUGUUUCUACAGAGUGGUCCAAGCCGUAAGUCCCUGAGUGGCUGUUAGACCGUUGGUUUAGCUCUGUAACGCUUCUGAAGAAGGAACAGUUCCGAUCUUAAGUAUGAGUUUACAUAGAAGAUCUACAUCUUCCUCUAGUUCUCUAUCACAAAUGGACUCAGAUCCCAGUCCUAUACAUAGAGAAGAAGUAAGGAUAGAAGAUUUCAACAAAUCUAUAGAGAAUUGGGAAAUUCCUAAAAUAUAGCUUAAAGAAAUAUACAAACAAUCAAAAUUAAAAUUUUUCAAAAAAUCAGACUAUGUCAUAUCCACCAAAGAAAGAGAUGUUCCUCUUUCUAAUUCCUAUGAGAAAAUACAUCUUUUAAACAAAGAGUCCAUCCAAAAGCAUAAACAAAAAUACAAUUACAUUCAUAUAGGACUAGUCCAAGUAGGAGUCAAACCUCUUACAAAAGAAGGUCUUAAUACCUCUAUUCUUCUAGUUUUACGAGAUUCACGUCUCUUAAACUAUGAUGAGUCCAUACUUGGUACUGUGGAGACAAGUCUCUGCAAAGGACCUAUACAUUUUGAUUGUUACCCUAAUUUCUCUGUUUCUCUCAAAGAUAAGAAUAUUCUUAGAGCCCUCACACUCCAAAUCAAAACCCAUAAUUACAAAGUGGCAGAUGGAUCUAUUCCUUUAGCCUUUGUCUAUAGAAUUCAUUAUAAAGCCAUGUCCUCCGCUUUUGGAGAAAAUGCUUUCAAACAUAGUCCACGGGGAGAAACACUUCUUCUCCAAACUGACAUUUCUAGAGCAAAUACAACAAUUCCUAGGUUUAUUAAUUGGAACCAAGUUACUUUACCAAAAAAAUGGGAAUUAGAAAACCAAAUUCCCCAACAAGUUGUUCAAAAUACAGAUCCGACUAAUGUCAUUCAACAUCCAGAAGGAAGAGUGACCAUUAGAUUUCCUCGAAGAUCUUUCGAUUCAAGAUCUAGUCAUUCUUUUCAUAAUUCUUAUACAAGGUCCAUAGAUCUUAAUCCUAAUCUUCCUCCUAUAAUCACCAUUCCUCCAAGUACUCAUAGAAACACCCCUCUCUAGUAUGCAUAGAGAUACUCCCACACACGAUACAACACCUUUACCUCCUUCCACCAGUAGAAUUAAUCAAGAGACACCUCUUGAACCAGAAAUUAGUGGUUUAGAUAAUAGAUCAUGGAUUUUUAGGCCAGUUUAUCAACAAAACCAGCGUGAACCAGUCCUAGAAAGUACAGAUUCCCCUCAUCAUUCUCCUACUUAUUCUCAAAUGAUAGAUACCGAGCUUAAUGUUUUAGAAAAACAUUUUGAACCAAACAAGGCUUUCCUUAAUAAAGAAUUUAAUUCUGAAAACAACAGACAAAUCAGAGAAUGGUUCUUCAAAACCUUUGCUGAUAAAGCAAAAGACAUUAAACAAAAAUAUUACGACUACAUAUAUGAAUAUGAAGUCCAUAUAUUUUUCUUUGAUUGGCUAGAAGAACAAUUCCUUGAACCAAAAGAAAUAAUUGUUUUAGAUCAUCAUUAUAAGUGGAAACUUGAUAAUGGUGAAACCAUAGAAUCCAAUCAUCCUCCUCUUAGGUGAAUAAAAAUACAACAUGGAGAAAGCGAGGUUACAGCUACCCCUUUUAGGCUUCCAGAUCAAGGACACUCUCUUUAUACUCACAAAGUCAUUGAACAAAACAAUUACACUAAUCAACAUUUGGCGACCAUAGGAAAACAGUUGAAUAGGAUAGAAUCCACCAUACAGAAUCCUACCCAACUCAUCACACCACAAGUAGACACUUUCAAAAAACCCAUUUUUAAAGCUUUUGAAUUUCCAAAAAAUCUUAGCCCAGAGUUUGCUAAAGCUAUAGAACAAAAGAAAAAACUCCUAGGGAAAUCAAAGCUAGAGCCUGCUCCUAUUAUAGACACCCCUAAAUUCCAGAAUCUUAUCAUUAAAGACACUCCUGACCAACCCACUAUCAGUACAUUGACCAAACAAUCUGGUGACUCUGAUAAUGAAUCAGUCGCUGAGAUUAAUUGACUCAAUUGGAGACAACCUCAGAAACUUUAUUAUAGCAGAGCUACCCCACCUGGCAUUGUCCAAGAAGAAUCAUCACAGAAAAUACAGAAUAAAUACUCUCCCGACGCCAUUUAUGAAUGGAAUAUAGAUGGUGUUGCCGAAAGCAAUAUCAUGAAUAUUUUAAAUAACAUGGUAAUGCUUGCCAAUGCCUACAAAACCCAGCAAGAUGUUUAUGAUCAUGCUGUUGCUAAUCUUUUAGUAGUCGGAUUUAUUGGACAACUAAAAGGUUGGUGGGAUAAUUAUUUGACUGAUGAACAAAGAAUACAAAUUUUAACUGCCUAUAAAAUCGAUGACUUUGGCCAACGCAUGGAUGAUGAUCAAGGACAUCUUAUCCAAGAUGCGGUCAAUACUCUUAUCUAUUCCAUUUCACAACACUUCAUAGGAGACCCUUCCCAUAUUAGAGAUAGGAACCAAGAUCUCUUAUCCAACAUGCGUUGCAAAUCCUUAGGGAGAUUUAGAGAAUACAAGGAACUCUUCUUUCAAAGGGUUCUUAUCAGACCUGAUUGCAAUCAACCCUUUUGGAAAGAAAAAUUCUUAACAGGUUUAUCUCAAAUUAUAGGUGACCAAGUUAGAAAUAGAAUUAGAGAAGAAUACAAUGGUCAAAUACCUUAUGAUAUUCUUUCUUAUGGAGAAAUAAUCUCUUAUGUUUACAGACAAUGAACCCAAAUGUGUAAUACUAUUAAAUUACAAAGACAACUUAAGGAAGAACAAUCUCUCACCAAUAGAAGUCUAGGAGAUUUUUGUGCUCAAUACGAUCCCUCUUAUAAUGAAAAAAUAAAACCAAAAUGUAAGGGAACUUGUCCUUUUGAGAAAGAAACAAAGAAAUAUCACAACAAACCUCCACCUCGUAGAAAUAAACAAAGACACCAGAAUAACCAAAAUAGACCUCAUACUGAUAGAAAAAAUUUCAAAGACAUUAAAUGUUAUUCUUGUGGUAAAAAAUGUCAUAUUUCAAAAUACUAUAGGAUUAAUAAAAAAUUAAAUGAACUCUCUCUUGAUGACAAUACUCUUAACCAGUUAAACAACAUCUUCAUAGAAAAUGGUGAUACUUCUUCUGAUGAAUUUCUUGAGGAAGAAGGUCUUCAGAUCAAUGAAAUAGAUUCCUCUUUUGACUCUGAUUAUGAAGAUGCCUCUCCUGAAAAACAUGUUCCUGAAAUAAACAUGUUAACAAAAGAAGAAGAAUUUCUCCUUAGCACUGCUGAUAAGAUCACUGACCCAGAAGCCAAGAAAGAAUACUUAGAUAGAUUACAUUAUUCCUUAAAUAUUACCUCCAAACCCAAUACUUCCUACAAUUUAAAAGACAUUUUAAAUAGAAACAAAAAACCCCAGUCCAGCCCGUUAAUAUAAAUGACCUUCAAAAUGAAAUAAAACAACAAAAGUUAGAAAUUCAAGCCCUGAAAGCAACACAGUUAGAUAUAAAAAAAGAGAUUUCUGACAUAAAAUCUCUUGUCAUAACAAGAAAAACAAAAUUAGAAAACCAAAACGAAAUCACCAAUACAUCAGACAAUCCGGACCCAGCCUUCCUUAUGUUAUUAACAGAAAUAACAUCUAGAAAAUGGUUAAUAAAUAUUAUGAUAAAAAUCAACAAUGAGUUUAUUAUUGAAACAACAGCACUCUUUGAUACAGGAGCUGAUCUCAAUUGUAUCAAAGAAUGCCUUGUUCCAACAAUAUACUUUGAUAAAACUUCCGAAUCCUUAAAAUCAGCCUCAGGUGAUAACCUUAACAUCCAAUACAAAUUACCAAAAGCCUUAGUAAUAAAAGAUCAAAUGUCUUACAAAACAUCUUUUCUUUUAGUAAAAAAUAUGAGGCAACAAAUAAUUCUUGGAACACCUUUCAUACAAUUAAUACAACAUUUUACAGUUACUAAUGAAGGUAUUGAAACCCAUGCUCUAAAUAGAAAAAUCACCUUCAACUUUAUAACAAAACCACAGAAGAGAAGUCUAAAUAUUUUACAAGAACAUUCUAUUUCAGAAAUUAAUUGCCUUAUAAAAGACAAAGAAAAUCAGCUUGAAUUCCUAAAAAAAGAUUUAGAAUUCAAAAGAAUAGAAGAAAAUCUUAUAAAACCAAACAUCAUAGAAAAGAUAGCUUCCCUACAAAAACACAUAGAAAAGACUAUAUGCUCUACUCUACCCAAUGCCUUUUGGGAAAUAAAGAAGCAUAUCGUUGAUUUACCUUAUGAACAUGAUUUUUCUGAAAACAAAAUACCUACCAAAGCCAGCCCAACACAGAUGAAUCAAGAAGUUUUGAAAUUCUGUCAAGAAGAAAUACAAGAUCCCUUGAAUAAAAAACUCAUAAGAAAUAGCCAAUCACCUUGGAGUUGUUCUGCUUUUUAUGUCAAUAAAAAUGCUGAACUUGAAAGAGGAGUUCCCAGGUUAGUUAUUAAUUAUAAACCUCUUAAUACAACCCUUAGGUGGAUAAGAUAUCAUAUACCCAAUAAAAAAGAUUUGUUAAACAGACUUUGUAGAUUAAAAAUAUUUUCAAAAUUUGAUAUGAAGUCAGGAUUUUGGCAAAUACAGGUCAGUGAAAAGAAUAAAUACAAGACAGCCUUCACAGUCCCUUUUGGCCAAUAUGAAUGGAAUGUUAUGACAUUCGGUCUCAAAAAUGCCCCUUCAGAAUUCCAAAGGAUUAUGAAUGAGAUUUUCAAUCCUUAUUCAGAGUAUAUCAUAAUUUAUAUAGAUGAUGUUCUAGUAUUCUCUUCCAAUAUAGAACAUCAUUUCAAACAUUUAUCUACAUUCAUAAAAAUAAUCAUACAAAACGGUCUUGUAGUCUCUCCUACUAAAAUUGCACUCUUCAAAACCAAGAUUAGGUUCUUAGAUUAUUACAUUCAUUUAAGCACCAUCACUCCCAUAGAAAGAUCAAUCUCUUUUACUGAUAAAUUCCCUGAUGAAAUCAAAGACAAAACUCAAUUACAAAGGUUUUUGGGUAGUCUCAAUUAUAUUCUAGAUUUCUUUCCCAAUAUAAAUAUCAUUUGUAAACCUUUACAUCAAAGGUUAAGAAAGGAUCCUCCACUCUGGACUUCUGUCCAUACAGACAUUGUCAAACAAAUAAAAAUACAUGUGAAAGAUAUACCAUGCUUACAUCUAGCUGACGCUUCCACUUUCAAAAUAGUUGAAACAGAUGCAUCAGAAUUAGGAUAUGGUGGCAUUCUCAAACAAGUCAAAAACAACAAAGAGCAAGUUGUUCAGUUUAUAUCAAAACAUUGGAAUUUCACUCAACAAAAUUAUUCGGCAAUCAAAAAAGAAAUACUUGCUAUAGUUUUGUUUAUAUCAAAAUUCCAAGGAGAUUUAUUAAAUCAAAAAUUUCUCUUAUGAAUUGAUUGCAAAUCAGCCAAAGACAUUUUACAAAAAGAUGUUUUAAACAUUGCAUCAAAACAGAUUUUUGCCAGAUGGCAAGCCAUACUUUCAGUAUUCGAUUUUGACAUUGAAUUUAUAAAUGGUUCUUCAAAUUCAUUGCAUGAUUUUCUCACAAGAGAAUUUUUACAGGAAAUACCAAUAUGCCAAGAUCCAAAAAAGACAAAGACAAAGACAAAGGCAAAACCACUACCGAACCCUCCAAUACACCACCAAAGCUGAAAGGCUUAACAUCUGUCAAAACAUGGCUUGAAAUGACAGAAGACAACCAGUCAUUCUUACGCCAAACACCUGUGAAAAUAGAACAUAUAUCAUUUGAUCCCACGCUAGCCUUUAAACAACUAGCCGAUAUGAUACCAAAAGAAACAAUUCUGUUACUUGCCCAGUCCUUACAAAACACAGCAAAAAAGGAGACAUCCAGUGCUAUCGAGGUAAGCAACAAUCCUUCCCCACUUGCUACACAAAAGCAAGCAGAAUACAAAAGAACUUCGAAUGAGGUGGUUAUUAGGCUACAGGCAACCCCUCAAUCUCAAAAAUCAAAAUUUUUCCCCAAAACAUCAUUUCAGAAAAUAUUAACUAUGGAAGAUGGAUUCUUUGACAAAGAUCCAAUCUUAUUUGCCAAAAACAUUUUCCCAAAAAACUGGUUAUUUAAACCACACAAUACAAAUAAAACCCUUGCUUAUUACAAGCAAAUUUUAAUGGAAACAGAAUCAGCAAGGUUUACCCACUUUGCUGACAAAAACAAUACAGAAAACAUUAUGUACUCUACUAUUUCCAUUAGUAAAGUCAUACACCCCCUUACAUUGGGGAACUUCACCUCAUACACCCAAAAAAUUCCAAACCAGGCUUACCCAAAACCUACCAUACUCCUCCUCAUAUACAUACUGGGACUACCAACAAGCUUGGUGGAACGUUUUCUUCAGACAAAAUACAAAUUUCCAACACACCUGGUUGUUAUUCUUUAAAGAUAACUUCCCAAGACAAAGCCUACCAAACUGGUUUGACUCUUGGUGGGAUCUCUUUGGUCAUUUGGACAUAAUACUACAUCCCACAGUCAAACAAGGUUACAAGGUUUUCAGUGAAUACUUCGUACCAACACCGCAUGAUAUAAGGUUCCCAUGCAUUAUGCAUGGGGAUUUGAAUACAAUACAUCCACAAAACCUAGUGUACCAGUAUUUGUCUGUAAAUACAAAACAAAAUGGUGGGAUGGAUUCAAUAGACUUGAACAAGGAUCCGAAGCUGCGGUUAAAACAUGGUUAAACAGCCAGAAAACUCAAAUAAUCACAGCCCCAUCAAAUACAUCGUUCUUACAAGAGAAAUCUAUGGCAAGUGCAUCACUUGCCGCAGUCCAAAACAGAGAGGAAUACUGCAACAUCCUCAGGACAAUGCUCUUAGAAGCGGAAGAAUCACAAUGUGGAUCUUCCAAAUCUCAAAACAGUCAAGACGAAUCCUCCCAGUCACAUCACAGUGGAGACACUAAUGAAGACGACUACUACAGGAUCAAUCUGGACAGAGAUUAAAAUCAAAGACAUCACAUGCAGACACUAUUACAAGCGGUGCAAAGGCUAUACAUUAUAGCAUAAUAGAGAUACAAUGUUCAUACAAUGUUCACUUUACACUGUUCACUCAGUACUGUUCACUUUACACUGUUCAGUACUGUAGCACUUUCACUGUAAUCCUCACUAUAAAUACACCCUCUCGACACAAGGAAAGAGGACCGAAAUUUUCUAGAUUUCUCUCUUCUUUCUCUCUCUCUCUCUCUCUCACUUGUAAACCAUCAUCCCUUCCAUCUCCAUCCUCAUCUCUUCCAUCUCCAAGCUCUCUUACCUUGUAUCCCCUGGUUUCAAAGUAAGUUAGUUUUUCAUAUACAUAGUUUUAUACAAGGUUACCAACUUACAUGAUAGUUGGUUAACCAUUUCUUGUAAUACAAACAUAAAUAUUCCCUGGAGUGCGGAUUACCGCCCUAGUGGAUGACUUGAUGCUUUAGUUUCUGCAUCCUUCAAUACAUGUAAUUUCAGCUUUUCAGCUUUAUAAUACAAGUUCAUACCACCUUCAUGGUUGGUUUUUGUUUAUGCAUACUUUUACUUUAUAUUCUAUAUAUUGCCUUUGCUCUUUACAUUAUUUUUAAUUCUCGCAAUUUUAUUUAAGUUAUUUACUUUCUUGUUCUUAUACAUCAUUUCCUUUUAGAUACAUCCUUCUUUGUUUUCAUACAGAUCUGUUAGUCUCUUAUACUUCCUUGUUCUCUAAUAUAGUACUCCGAUCCUAACCCCUUUAUUCUUUAUUCAUCAGUCAAAUAAUUAUCCCACUAACCUUUUAGUUGUCCAGUAAAUCUGGCUACUAAGGGGGUGCAUGACAACCCAAAAUUUCUGUUACAGAAAUAGUUUUUUUAUUCCAGACCUGUUUCUGGAAGAGAAAUCCGUUUGAUAAACCUAUUCAGUUUUUCUAUUUCUUGAAUAGAUUUCUCUUCCAGAAAUAGGUUUGGAAGAGAAAUCAAAAGCUAAAAUUUUAUACUUCUGAUUUCUAGAAGAGAAAUCAGAAAUAAUUUCUCUCACUAAACCCUAAUUUUGGUAAGUCCUCCCUCAUCUCCUCUACGUCUCUGCCUCCUCCUCCUCCUUCGUCUCUUCUCAUUUUAUUAAAAAUAAAAAUAAAAAUAUUAAAAUAAAUAAAUUAUUUUUAUUUAUUUUAAUAUAUUUAUUUUUAUUUUUAAAUGAAUAAAAUGAAUAUAUAUAUUUUUUAUUUUAUUUUAUUUUAUUUUAUUCAUUAUUUUUUUUGUUACUAAAUCAUUUUUAUUUUUAUUUUUUAUAUUAAAGGUCGUCGGUCGUCGUCGCCAUCGUCCGAAAGGAAAAAAUUUUGUGUCGUUAUCAAACGGUUAUUUUUGCUUAAAAACUCUUCUAGAAAUAGAAAUAGAAAAAUCUAUUUCUGUUUCAGAAACUAUUUCUGGAACAAAAUGGUUGUCAUGCGCCCCCUAAAAGAUUAGCAACAGCAUGAUCAGAAACAUCUUGCUGGGUUUUGUAGGCAUUGGCAAGCAUUACCAUAUUAUUUAAAAUAUUCAUGAUAUUGUUUUCGGCAACACCAUCUAUAUUUUUGUUUCUAUUUAAAAUGUCUUUUAAAUUGUAGGAAGUAUUGGGUUUGGAGGUAAUAUUUAAGGAAGAAUGUAAUCUAUCUAAGUAUUCUUUCUUGGCUUCUGGGUCAGUGAUCUUAUCAACAGUGCUAAGGAGAAAUUCUUCUUCUUUUGUUAACAUGUUUAUUUCAGAAACAGGUUUUUCAGGAGAGGCGUCUUCAUAAUCAAAGUCAGAAGAGGAAUAUAUUUCAUUGAUCUGAAGACCUUCUUCCUCAAGAAAUUCAUCAGAAGAAGUAUCACCAUUUUUCUAUGAAGAUGUUGUUUAACUGGUUAAGAAUAUUGUCAUUAAAAGAGAGUUCAUUUAUUUUUUUAUUAAUCCUACAGUAUUUUGAAAUAUGACAUUUUUUACCACAAGAAUAACAUUUAAUGUCUUUGGUGGUGUAUUGGAGGGUUCGGCAAUGCAUAUAUAUAUAUAUAUAUAUAUAUAUAUAUGUAUGUAUGUAUGUAUGUAUGUAUGUAUGUAUGUAUGUAUGUAUCAAAUUAUCUUUAUCUCAAUACAUGAGUUUUACAAAAUCAAAGAAAAUAUUAGUAUUAUAACAUCGUUGUCUACAAUCAAACAAUAAAAGGUACUUAUAUUGGCAAACUUGCGGCUUAAGCGCUACAUUGUACUUAUAUUGGCAAACUUGCGGCUUAAGCGUUACAUUGUACUUAUAUUGGCAAACUUGCGGCUUAAGCGUUACAUUGCAUAGUCAUAUCGACGAAAUCCCCUUUUUCUCUCCCCUUUUCUCUCUCUCUGUUCUAUCUCUCCCCCGGGAGCUCUCGGCCCCUUUUAAAACCGAGCGUGACCUGUCCCACCAGUCUUAUGAGGUCAACCUUGGCCGGCUGGCCGGGCGUGACAAAGAGCGUGUCCUAUUUUUGCUUUCCUUCUACUUUUUUUUUUUUUGGUUUGGAAUAUGCUUAGUUAACCGUACCCUCAUAUGAUUAAUCGCCAGCCACAUAUUUUGGAAGAGAGGGAGAGAAUUGUGUCUUGCUUGGAUGCUUGAGUUCUUUUAUGGAGUCCACAAAAUGUGUGGCUGGGGAUUCACCUUCCAUUUUCCAAGCUAAGGGUACGCUUAACCAAGUAUAUUUCUUUUUUGGUGGCUCGCACCGCUUUGAAAAGUCGAAUAUUACGAAGCAACCUUGAAUAGCCGGACAUGAGAUAAAGAAAUGUUGACAAGCUGUGCCAACAGUCGGAGAAUAUAUAAUGGUAAAGGCUUUAGAUGAAACGCACACAAAGAAGAGGACUUAACCAGAGCACUAGCUCAUAAAACUUAACUAGCAGAGAAAGAGAGAGAGAGAGAGAGAGAGAGAGAGAGAGGAGCAGCAGCGGCACGGAGGAGGUGGCGGUUAUGGAAUCGUACCCGAUGAACGGUGGGGAUGGCACGUUCAGCUACAACAAGAACUCUUACUUGCAGGUUCUUCAUUUGAUGUUAAGUAGAUGCACUUCCAAGCAACCAUUUCUUAAAUUUCAUGGAAUAAGAGCUAAAUGAUAGAAUUAAUUGGUCUAUCUUUCGCUAAGCUUUGCCUGAAUUCAGCUUCUGAAACUACUCUCUGGUUGUUCAUCUCUUGUGACCCCUUAUGGUUUCAACUAGACAAGUUUUUAAUCAUCAAAGUCGAACUUGCUACUCUGACACGUAUUGCAGAGAGCGUCAACCAACGUCUCCCGGGCGACAAUCGACAAGGUGAUCGCAGAGAAGCUCGACAUAAAGCAAUUUUCUCCUGCUCUGACCACAUUCCAGAUCGCGGAUUUAGGCUGUUCGAUCGGGCCAAACACCUUUCUUGCGGUCCAAAACAUCAUAGAGGCAGUCCGACGCAAGUACGAAUCACAAGGCCUCUCCUCCCAAUUGCCUGAUUUCCAAGUCCUGUUCAACGACCACGCGUCCAAUGAUUUCAACACCCUCUUCACUUCCCUGCCAUCUGACCGGCCGUACUACGCGGCUGGUGUGCCAGGAUCCUUUCAUGGGCGACUGUUCCCCAAGGCGUCCCUCCAUUUCGUGCAUUCGUCUUAUGCGCUUCAAUGGCUUUCCAAGGUGCCUAAAGAAUUGGUUGAUCCAAAUUCCCCAGCAUUUAACAGGGGGAGAGUUCACUACACAAGUGCUCCACGCGAAGUGAGCGAUGCUUAUACAUCUCAGUAUGCACAGGACAUGGUGAAAUUUCUGCACGCUAGAGGUGAGGAAAUUGCGAGUGGAGGCAUCAUGGUUCUAGUCAUGCCCGGGAUUGCUAAUGGCAUUCCUUAUUCACGUAUGCCAUCAGGCGUGAUGUUCGACCUUUUGGGAUUCAGCUUGAUGGAUAUGGCAAAGGAGGUAAAAACUGGAAACGUUGUCAGCAAAAUUUUCUUUCUUACCAAAAAUAGUUAUAUAUGUGCGCAAGUGUAUAUCAGCAUAGUUCACUUACAGGUCUCACAAAUUUAAAUUUAGCGAAAAUAUAGAUAAUCCAUAGUUCAUGUCUCAUUUGUGCAUGUCUUAAUGUGUUUAUCAUAUGCAUGUGGACCCUUUAACGGAUUUCUUAAGGCUUUCAUUCCAUCGUUAGUUCACUUAUAUUCAAAGCAAUCCCAUUGAGUUGCACAGAUGACUUGAUGAAAGUAACUCUCUACAGGGUAUAAUAAGUGAGGCUCAGGUAGAUUCAUUUAAUUUGCCUGUGUACGCUCCCUCUCCUGACGAGUUGACGGCACUAGUAGAGAGCAAUGGGUGUUUUAGCAUAGAGAGGAUGGAUUUAGCAGCUAUUGGAUCGAAGAUCGAUGACUCGUUCGGAGGGCAUGCUUGCAUGCUGCACUUAAGAGCUGGAAUGGAAGGCAUCAUCAGCAAACAUUUUGGAAGUGAGAUAAUUGACGACCUGUUUGAUCGUUAUCUCGGGAAAACCAAUGAAUUUUCCGACCGUUUAAACUCUUCAGUACGUCAAGGAAGCCAACUGGUAGCAAUACUGAAGCGCAAAUAAUGCGCACCUGGGAGUGGGGUCCGCACUUUUUUCAAAUAAAGUUCU
rnacentral:lncRNA from 1 species